rnacentral:rRNA from 1 species
UAGGGAAUCUUCGGCAAUGGACGGAAGUCUGACCGAGCAACGCCGCGUGAGUGAAGAAGGUUUUCGGAUCGUAAAGCUCUGUUGUAAGAGAAGAACGAGUGUGAGAGUGGAAAGUUCACCCUGGGACGGUGUCUUACCCAAAAAAGGGACGGCUAACUACGUGCCAGCAGCCGCGGGUAAUACAUAGGUCCCGAGCGUUGUCCGGAUUUAUUGGGCGUAAAGCGAGCGCGGGGNUUUAGAUAAGUCUGAAGUUAAAGGCUGUGGCUUAACCAUAGUACGCUUUGGAAAAACUGUUUAACUUGAGUGCAAGAGGGGAGAGUGGAAUUCCAUGUGUAGCGGUGAAAUGCGUAGAUAUAUGGAGGAACACCGGUGGCGAAAGCGGCUCUCUGGCUUGUAACUGACGCUGAGGCUCGAAAGCGUGGGGAGCAAACAGGAUUAGAUACCCUGGUAGUCCACGCCGUAACGAUGAGUGCUAGGUGUUAGACCCUUUCCGGGGUUUAGUGCCGUAGCUAACGCAUUAAGCACUCCGCCUGGGGAGUACGACCGCAAGGUUG